UGUCCAGUAGCACCUUAGAGACCAACUAAGUUUGUUCUUGGUAUAAGCUUUCGUGUGAAUGCAACUUAGUUGGUCUCUAGGGUGCUACUGGACA